AAAUAUUUUAGGACUAAAGUUAAUUUUUCCCACGCUCCAACGAGAACACUAGAGAUUCAAUUCACACUAAAAUCCACCUCAAAACCCUCCUUCUCCACCUAAAAAUCACAGCAUCGGGCCAGUUAAGCAUCACUUUAUGUAGUUAGCUAAAGACCUGCGAGAUCCGUCCUCCGAGUCUUUGUUCUAAUUGAUUGUGUUAUGAUAGUUGUCUCUAAUGGAGGUCCCCACAUCGUCUUCGGAUUUCUACGCGCAUUUACUCCAAACAAGCCUCAAGACCAAAGACUCAUUUGCUGGAAAAUUGAUUCAUGCUCGAAUAAUCAAAGCCGGGCUUCACCUCGGUGUUUUCUUGAUGAAUAAUCUCAUGAACUUCUAUGCAAAAAGUGGGUAUGUUUCAGAUGCUCACCGUAUACUCGAUGAAAUGACUGCCAAGACUAUAUUCUCCUGGAAUACAAUGCUUUCGGCAUAUGCCAAGCAGGGUAGGUUAGAUGAAGCUCGUCGUGUUUUUUAUGAAAUUCCAGAUCGUGACUCUGUUUCGUGGACUGCUAUGAUAGUCGGAUAUAAUCAGAUGGGUCGUUUUGAAAAUGCGAUUCGGAUGUUUGUAGAGAUGAUAGGAAGUGGAGUGGCACCAACCCAGUAUACUAUCACUAAUGUUCUUGCUUCAUGUGCUGCAAUUGAAGCUCUGGAAAUUGGUAGGAAAGUUCACUCCUUUGUUGUUAAACUUGGCCUCCGUAGUUGUGUUCCUGUGACGAAUUCAUUGCUAAACAUGUACGUGAAGUGUAGUGAUCCAUUAACAGCCAAAGUAGUUUUUGAUAGGAUGAGAGUGAAGAACACGUCAAGCUGGAACGUAAUGAUUUCAUUACAUAUGCAGUCGAGUCGGGUUGACCUCGCUCUUGCCCAAUUCCAACAAAUGGCAGAACGAGAUGUAGUUUCGUGGAAUUCGAUGAUUGCAGGUUGCAACCAGCAUGGUUUUAAUCUUGAAGCACUGGAAAUCUUCUCAAACAUGUUGAAGGAUGUUUUAUGGAAGCCUGAUAAGUUCACAUUGGCGAGUGCUUUGUCGGCCUGUGCAAACCUCGAGAAAUUAAGUCUUGGGAAACAAAUCCAUGCUUAUAUCCUUAGAACUGAGUUCGUAACCUCUGGGGCAGUCAAGAAUGCUUUGAUUUCAAUGUAUGCCAAGUCUGGUGGGGUUGAAAUUGCAAGGAAGAUUGUAGAGCAAAGUGGAUAUUUGGAUCUCAAUGUUAUAGCUUUUACAGCCCUGUUGGAUGGCUACAUCAAGCUUGGGGAAAUAAAACCAGCCAGACAGAUAUUUGAUUCACUAAGAGAACGUGAUGUGGUUGCAUGGACAGCCAUGAUUGUAGGUUAUGUGCAGAAUGGUUUGUAUAAUGAUGCUCUGGAGCAUUUUAGAUCAAUGGUUUUAAAGGGUCCCAAGCCAAACAGUCACACUCUUGCGGCCGUGUUAAGUGUCAGUUCAAGCUUGGCUUCUUUGUAUUAUGGCAAGCAAAUUCAUGGAAGUGCCAUAAGAUCAUGGGAAGCAUCGUCAGUUUCUGUGAGCAAUGCUCUAAUUACCAUGUAUGCUAAAGCUGGAAGCCUUAACAAUGCAAAGCACGUAUUCAAUCUAAUAAGGCAGAAUAGAGAUACUGUAUCUUGGACUUCCAUGAUUAUGGCUUUGGCUCAACAUGGUCAUGGAGAAGAAGCCAUAGAACUUUUCGAAGAGAUGCUGGCAGGUGGUAUUAAGCCUGACCAUAUAACUUAUGUUGGUGUGCUCUCUGCCUGUACUCAUGUGGGAUUGGUUGAACAAGGAAGGAAAUAUUAUUAUCUGAUGCAAGAUCUUCAUAAAAUUGAACCCAGCUUAAGCCAUUAUGCAUGCAUGAUUGACCUGUUUGGGCGUGCAGGAUUGCUACAAGAAGCACAUGAUUUCAUAAAAAGUAUGCCAAUCGAACCAGAUGUUAUAUCUUGGGGUUCGCUUUUAGCUUCUUGUAAGGUUCACAAAAACAUGGAGUUAGCAAAAGUUGCAGCAGAAAGACUGCUUCUUAUUGAGCCUGACAACAGCGGGGCAUACUCAGCCCUUGCCAAUCUAUAUUCAGCUUGUGGGAGAUGGAAGGAUGCUGCUGAAAUUAGAAAAUCAAUGAGAGAUAGAGGAGUGAAGAAAGAUCAAGGAUUCAGUUGGCUUCAGAUACAGAACAGAGUCCAUGUCUUUGGGGUGGAAGAUGGGCUUCACCCACAGAAGGAUGCUAUAUACGAUAUGGUAGCAAAUAUCUGGAAAGACAUAAAAAAGAUGGGAUUCAUUCCGGAUACCGAAUCAGUACUGCAUGACCUUGAACAGGAAGUCAAGGAACAGAUUCUUCAACAUCAUAGUGAAAAACUUGCCAUCGCAUUUGGACUGAUAAGUACUCCAGAGAACAGUACGUUGAGAAUCAUGAAGAACCUUAGAGUGUGUAAUGACUGUCAUUCUGCCAUAAAAUUUAUCUCCAAGCUUGUGGGCAGAGAAAUUAUUGUGAGAGACUCUACUCGUUUUCACCAUUUCAGGGAUGGUUCUUGCUCUUGUCGGGAUUAUUGGUAGGCACAAGGAUGUUUCAAGAAACAUCUGACGUUCUCAUGUUUGUGCUACCUGCUUUUCUUAACGCCUUGAGAACAUUUACUAAUUGCUUGUGCGGGGCUGCUGUAUCUUUGGAGAUAGCAUGCAACUGCUUUGCCACAGUGGGUAUUUUCAACUUGGAUGUGACAUUUAUUGGAAGAUCUUUAUCAUGAGUCAACCUGAAAAUAUCUAAAUUCUGCGCUUUCAAACCUAUGCAGGCUGCUCUCUUUUGAAGCUGCAGUUGUCAAACUUCUACAUCUUUUACUAACAAGGCCGGAGAGUGAAGGGACUUAUUGCAACCGUAGAUAUUUUUGAACUGAACCAGAAAGGAGAUUACAGUCCUCCACUUAUGGUCUUUUUUGGAUCA